GCAUUGGUGGUAUAGUGGUGAGCAUGGCUGCCUUGAAAGCAGUUGACCCGGGUUCGAUUCCCGGGACAAUGCC